UAUCCAGAUUUGAAAUGAGUGCCCAGAAUCAUACUUGGUUUCUGUGUCGUGUGCCCCACUGCUGUGCUCAUUGGCACGCUCUUGACUGUGUUGCCUGAGGUAGCGCACACACCACUGCAAUGCCUGUUUUUGUCCCACCUUAGUGCUGUUCCCUCGCCACACCAAUGCCACUGCUCGAGACAACACCAUCAACCUGAUCCACACGUUCCGGGACUAUCUGCACUACCACAUUAAGUGCUCUAAGGCCUAUAUUCAUACACGAAUGCGAGCAAAAACAUCCGACUUCCUUAAGGUGCUCAACCGUGCACGCCCAGAUGCCGAGAAAAAAGAAAUGAAAACAAUCACGGGGAAGACUUUUUCAUCCCGCUAACUCUUGGGAACUGAGGAGGAAGCACUGUUGACCGAAGGCUGGACCGCUUGCUACUGGAUAAUCGUAGCCCUUCAUGUUGCACCUUCUCCAGGUUCUUAAGGGAUUCUCCGUUUGGGUUCCAUUUUGUACGAGUUUGGCAAAUACGCUGCAGAAACGAGCUGUGCUUGCAAGGACUUGAUAGUUCCUAAGAAUUAAAAACUCACUUGAUCAACUUAAUUCCCUUUUAUUUUUCCUCCCUCACUCCCCUUCCUUUUCCAAGCUGUUUGCUUUGCAAUAUGUUACUGGUAAUGAGUUGCAGGUAAUGCAAUCUUAACUUGUUUUCUUCUAAGUAUUUGAGUUCAAAACUCCUGUAUCUAAAGAAAUACGGUUGGGGUCAUUAAUAAAGAAAAUCUUUCUAUCUU
rnacentral:lncRNA from 1 species